GACGAACGCUGGCGGCGUGCCUAAUACAUGCAAGUUGAGCGCUGAAGGUUGGUACUUGUACCAACUGGAUGAGCAGCGAACGGGUGAGUAACGCGUGGGGAAUCUGCCUUUGAGCGGGGGACAACAUUUGGAAACGAAUGCUAAUACCGCAUAAAAACUUUAAACACAAGGUUUAAGUUUGAAAGAUGCAAUUGCAUCACUCAAAGAUGAUCCCGCGUUGUAUUUGCUAGUUGGUGAGGUAAAGGCUCACCAAGGCGAUGAUACAUAGCCGACCUGAGAGGGUGAUCGGCCACAUUUGGACUGAGACACGGCCCAAACUCCUACGGGGGGCAGCCGUAGGGAAUCUUCGGCAAUGGACGAAAGUCUGACCGAGCAACGCCGCGUGAGUGAAGAAGGUUUUCGGAUCGUAAAACUCUGUUGGUAGAGAAGAACGUUGGUGAGAGUGGAAAGCGCAUCAAGUGACGGUAACUACCCAGAAAGGGACGGCUAACUACGUA
rnacentral:rRNA from 1 species